GAUGAACGCUAGCUACAGGCUUAACACAUGCAAGUCGAGGGGAAACGACAUUGAAGCUUGCUUCGAUGGUCGUCGACCGGCGCACGGGUGAGUAACGCGUAUCCAACCUGCCUCUGACCAAGGGAUAACCCGUCGAAAGUCGGCCUAAUACCUUAUGCAGUCGUCGGAAGUCAUCUGAUGACGACGAAAGAUUUCAUCGGUGAGAGAUGGGGAUGCGUCUGAUUAGCUUGUUGGCGGGGUAACGGCCCACCAAGGCAACGAUCAGUAGGGGUUCUGAGAGGAAGGUCCCCCACAUUGGAACUGAGACACGGUCCAAACUCCUACGGGAGGCAGCAGUGAGGAAUAUUGGUCAAUGGGCGAGAGCCUGAACCAGCCAAGUAGCGUGCAGGAUGACGGCCCUAUGGGUUGUAAACUGCUUCUAUGCGGGGAUAAAGUGAGGGACGUGUCCUUCAUUGCAGGUACCGCAUGAAUAAGGACCGGCUAAUUCCGUG
rnacentral:rRNA from 1 species